CCCAAGAGAUCGGGAUAACACCUGGGAACAGAUGCUAAUACCGGAUAACAACAGAUGAUGCCUAUCAACUGUUUAAAAGAUGGUUCUGCUAUCACUCUUGGAUGGACCUGCGGUGCAUUAGCUAGUUGGUAGGGUAACGGCCUACCAAGGCGAUGAUGCAUAGCCGAGUUGAGAGACUGAUCGGCCACAUUGGGACUGAGACACGGCCCAAACUCCUACGGGAGGCAGCAGUA
rnacentral:rRNA from 1 species